AGUUUGAUCCUGGCUCAGGAUGAACGCUGGCGGCGUGCCUAAUACAUGCAAGUCGAGCGAACGGAUAAGGAGCUUGCUCCUUUGAAGUUANCGGCGGACGGGUGAGUAACACGUGGGUAACCUACCUAUAAGACUGGGAUAACUUCGGGAAACCGGAGCUAAUACCGGAUAACAUUNAGAACCGCAUGGUUCUAAAGUGAAAGAUGGUUUUGCUAUCACUUAUAGAUGGACCCGCGCCGUAUUAGCUAGUUGGUAAGGUAACGGCUUACCAAGGCGACGAUACGUAGCCGACCUGAGAGGGUGAUCGGCCACACUGGAACUGAGACACGGUCCAGACUCCUACGGGAGGCAGCAGUAGGGAAUCUUCCGCAAUGGGCGAAAGCCUGACGGAGCAACGCCGCGUGAGUGAUGAAGGGUUUCGGCUCGUAAAUACUCUGUUAUUAGGGAAGAACAAAUGUGUAAGUAACUGUGCACAU
rnacentral:rRNA from 1 species